rnacentral:tRNA from 1 species
UUAUCUAUAAGUUAAGUUAAACUCUCAAAUUGUGGAUUUGAAAAUUAUUUUUAUAUAGGUAAA